GUUGACAGACGUUUUUAUACUAAUUGUUAGUCUUUUUACUCCUUUAUUUAUACUCUGAAUUGGCGCGGGAAUUUUCCUUUAUCUCCCGAUCAUGACAAGGAGCACACGGCGGGUGUGAAUGGUCGGCAGGGGAUGCUCACUCCUCCAUGCCACCUGAUCUCAUUUCUAAUGUUCUGGAGGUCCGUGUUUGUUCUGCUCUUAUUUUGUAUAGUGUUAUGGACUUUGAUAUUGAAGACUGUUCGUUAUCUCCAUGUCCUUCAUCCUUACGUCGCAGAUUCGAAUUCCACUGUGGGACCUUGAGACCGGUCAUCCGGAUGAGACCUUAUAAACCGAGGUUCUGUGUCGCAGUAUAUCUUGGCACUAAAAAGAUCCUUCCCUGUUCAAUGACCGCAAGAGCCGAGAAUAGGACAAAAAUUGCAGCUCUCCAUCGGCAAGUGGUGGCGUCUACAUACAUUGUAUGAGUGAAAAAUUCAACAUACAAACAAUCCCUUUGACUGCUGUUAAUACAAGUGUUUCUUUCCUGUCACUCGUUAUACUAUUGAUGACCAAUAAUAAUAUAUAUGUCCUUCUGUUUAGUAACUUGAAUUUAACCACCGAGGUUUUAAGAAAAGGCAUAUCCAGUUUUAAAUAAAAGGACUUUAAUCGGAAGUUCAUUUAGUUUGUUUGCAGAACAUAAGAACUCCAAUUUUACAAAAGGAAGUAAGUUUACCUUUAAUCCUCACUCAGGGCCAUUGAGCAAUGAGGGAUAUUGCGUCGGGCCUCGGGUUUAAAGGCCUCUUCCGAAGGACCCUCAACAUAUAAUACUUCAAAGUGCCGUUCUGUUGGCAAACGAGAAAUUGUUGUCUUUUUUUCGACUAUGUUCAAAAGUAAAUCCUGCUGACAACCCGUUUCCCACUUAACCUUCCAAUUACCAAUAAAGGAAUUGGUGCGACGAGAAUAUGGAGCGUCCGGCAGUCUUGCUCAUUGCAUUGGUGAUAUUAAUUUGCGCAGUCAUCCUUCAGUUAUUCGGCCUAGCCUCACCAUAUUGGAUUUCUAACGAGAAUUCAAUAGAUCCAGAAAAACAUUCAGCAACGUACGCUGGUUUGUGGAAAAUGUGUACAUGUAAAGAUACUGGCGAUUACCUACAGAAUGAUAUAGAUAUCUCAAACAGCCAGUUGCGCACUAAAUCUUCUCAAACUAUGAGUAUCCUGGGCUUCGUUGCACUCAUGUUUGCUUCAGGGUUGACAAUCUUAAAGUUAUGUUUUCUUAAGCAUAUGAAACCACUACUAAUUGUGUCCAGUAUUUCAGCUUUUGUUGGAGCUUUCUUCAUUGCAGUUUCCAUUCUACUGUUUGCAGCUGACGUCAAUAAUGCGAAGCUACUAUACAGAUAUGAAUUUCAUUUUGCUUUUGCCUUCUCCAUUCUGGCAAUGAUAAUAGCUUUUGUGUCUGGGGGUUUUAUGAUCCUAGAAAUACCAAAGUAAGCUACACAAGAAAUCCAAGAAACAGAUCAAGAAAUAAAGUGAUUUCCUGAAUAUACAAGCUUUUUCUUUUGUCUAAAAAUGAUGGCGUGUUUGAACAGUUAUAUUUGUAAUAUCUAAAUAAAUUCGUGAAAUUUUAGAAAAUCUAUU